rnacentral:lncRNA from 1 species
AAUUCAGUGAGGUUUUGAAGAUCAACAAUUGAAGAAGAUAGGCGUUCCAGAUUUGGAAAAUCUCCAAUCCACAUAGAUGUUAGAGAGGCAGGAAGAGGAAGCGCGGUCCCCAAUCUUUUGUCCUCUGCCUCUGGUGGAAAUGACACCAUGUCGUCAUCGCAUCCUUCGAUUGAAAGAUGUCGCAGAGAGGAAAAUCUGUGAAAUCCCUGGCCCCGCUCAAUCAUUGACUUCCAAAUCUUUGUAUUAAAAAUAAUCUCAAGUGAACGAAGGUCGGUGGGAAGGCCAUCAUCUUCUUCAAGGCUUGGAAGCUCACCUCCUAUUCUUAAUUCUUGAAGAGACUUCAGAUUGUGUAAUCCCUUGGGUAAGGCCUCUAGUCUCUUACAAUCAUAUAUCUCCAGCCUCGUGAGUUUCGCACAAGGCAAUCCCCCUUCGGGAAAGGUCACCAGAUUUCCACACCACCAAAUUUUAAUCUCUUGAAGCUGGCGGAGAUUAUGUAAACCACUCGGUAAAUUCUUCAGUUUUUCACAAAAAUCAAUUCUGAUUAUUUCAAGAGAUGUGUUGUCGUCCAACCUUUCAGCUAUUGACUCCAGCUUUGAACAUCCAUAAACACAAAGGGACUUAAGAGACGGAGGUAGAUUGCCAACUUCAAGGGACUCAAGCGUGGCAGGUAACUCAUUUUUUGAAAAUAUACAUGUCAGUGAUGGACAAUAGCGAAUGCCUAAGUGCUCAAGAAGAGAUGAGUUGUACCUUCUGCUGUUGCUGCUGCUACUGUGGAUGCCCUCUUCCACUGUCAAAGUCCUUAUAUUACCGCACUCAUCGAUGAACAACGUCUUAAGGCUCGGUGGUAGCUGGACUCCAGCAAUAUAUCUCAACGAAUGGCAACUCUCAAUAUACAAGAUCUCGAGAGAUGAAUUUGUGUCGCACAUCCAUGCCUCUGGUAACGAUUUCAGUGCAUCACAUUCACUAAUCUCAAUUUUCUUCAACUUGGAAGGCAGAGCAACCUCAGGAAAGGAAUCAAGGGAAUUGCAGCCGCCAAUGAAUAUCUCUCUCAAGGAACUCAGGCUGAGCAGUGAUUGUGGCAGCUUCACAAGGCCUUCACAUAUGUACAGUCUUAGAUAUUCAAGCCUGCAUGAGAACUCGCAGAGCUUCUGUCGUUGGUCUUCCUCUUCCUCAGCCACCAAGGAUUGAAGUUUAGAACAGCUUGUAAUCAUCAGUCUUUUGAGAGAGCAAAUGUCUUGCAGUAAUUCGGUAUGACUCUUCCAUAUAUAUGUUUCAUUUUUAAUAUUAUUUAUCCCCAAUUCUUCCAGUUUUGGUAUUCGCGGCUUCAAUGGCCCUGCGAGAAACACUUGAUUUGAUGUAUCUCUAGAAGCCACUGAAUUCUGUGAGCCGAGAUGAUCAGUUGCACUUCUCCCCACAACUUUUUUACAUUCACCAAUUUGCAAGUUGCAAAGAGCUGGAAGACUAGUAACUGAAACUGACAAUUCUUCACAUCUACCAAUUUGCAAGUUGCAAAGAGCUGGAAGACUAGUAAGUGAAACUGACAAUUCUUCACAUCCAUUAAUUUGCAAGUUGCAAAGAGCUGGAAGACUAGUAACUGAAACCGAAAAUUCUUCACAUCUGUAAAUAACAAGCAUCUGCAAUGCAGGAAGGCAUUUUGGAAAGGUUCCUCGCAGUUUAGAACAUCUUAAAAUGUGAAGCUCUCUCAAUUUAGGAAACCGUUCAACUCCCUGACUGGAUCCAUGAGGAAUCCAGUCUUCCCAUUCUUGCAUGUCUUCAAAACGAAGAGUCUCCAAGCAUGGAAAUGGAAUUGGAGAGUCAUUCCCAUAGAACUCUGAACCCAAUCUCUUUACUCUACUCAUUCCACGCACUGUAAGAUGCUUUAGAGAGGGCAGUUGCCCGACAGACGGCAGGGCAGUGCACAUGCCGCAAUCUUCAAAUUUAAGUGUCACUAAAUUUGAGAAUGAGGAAUCUCCUAACCAUGUUGGAAAUUUUGUGCCCCCAUAGCCACAGAUAUAAAAUUGUUCCAGAUUUUUAUGGGGUUUGAGCAUGUCGAGCACGCCCAUUUCAGUUUCUGCCUCCCUUGAAGAUGAACCAUCGGUACAGCAUGUCCAUCGAAGCAAUAAUUCUCUAAGAUUCUUCUUUCCAUCCAUUUGAGCCUCCUUCGCAUUAUCAACGUAUUUUACGUUCUCUAAUUUUGAAAUUUUAAGUGUCCCACGAAGAUGCAUUAACAACUUUAGCUCUGGUAACCCCGAACAGCUGUCUUUUCCCACAACAAAAUUACACGUCUGAAGACAAGUCAACUUGCCAAUUCCUACUGGCAUUUCCUUCAACAAAUCUGUAUUUGAAUUAUUGAGAUGAUGCAAUUUGAUGAGAUUUCCCAUGUCUGCACACAACUUCUUCAGUCGUCGACAACCCACCAACAGAAGGGUGUGCAAGUUGUAAAGCUUGUUGACUGAUUCAGGCAGAGUUCUAAUCUCAGUUCCAGACAGGUUAAGGUGCCUUAAAUACCUCAAAUCACCAACUGAAUCCGGCAGCUCGGAGAUGCAAUAUCCACGCAGAGAGAAGACCCUUAAGCUUUGGAGUUUGAACAACCUAGGGAGAAUGCUAUGAGCCAAGUAUCCAUGCCGACUAUUUAACAACAUCAGUGGUAAAAAAGUUCUCAAAUGUUGGAUAUCAUACAAUUUCUCAAACCUUUCAACGCCAUCAUAUUCUCCACAAAUGUAUGAUAGAUGACGAAGAUUUCUGGAAAAUCUUUGCUGCUGGUUAACCUCCGAGGUAUACUCCAGUGUGAAGUAUGUCUCCCCUGCAGCCCAACGGGCAAGGUCGUUGAUAAGAUCGUGCAUAACAAAUCGUGAUGCAUCGGUGGCCGAUUGCUGGAAAAAAGAUCUUGAACAUAGCUCCUUAAAGAAAUCACGACCUAAAUCUUCACUAGGAUUCUGACCUUCUUUGUGAUCCAAAAAACCGGAGGCACACCAUAAUAAAAUUAUCUCCUCCUCUUCAAAUUCAUAAUCCUUUGGUAACAAUGAGCAGUAUGCAAAGCAUUGUUUCAAAGUUGGAGGAAGAUAAUAAUAGCUCACCGCAAGGGCUGGUAUAAUGCGGCAUCUUUCUUCUGGCAAUUCCCAUAUCUUGCUAAUGAGCACACGUUCCCACUCACGUCUGUCAUGCUCUCCACGUAAAAGUCCUCCAAGCGUUUGUGCUGCCAAGGGCAAGCCAUCGCAUUUGGUCACUAUCUUCCUGCCGAUUUCCUCUAAUGACAUAUGUGAACUGAAAUCUCGCGUCCCCAAAGAAUGUUGAGCGAAUAUAGCUAGACAAUCAUUAUAUGACAGCUUUUUUAAUUGAUAAGCUGGAAGAGUCCCCAUGAUUUUUGCAACCUCAUGAUUGCGAGUACUAACAAUAAUCUUACUUCCCCGUGCACUUGCUCCAAGCGGACGGCUAAAGUCAACCCAAUCAUCGUAAUUCCGGUUCCACACAUCAUCUAAAACAAGCAAAAAUUUCUUUCCAGAUAGUUGCUUAUUCAGUUCCUCUUGAAGCUUAUUCAAGUUUAGAUUAUCCACAUUCUGGUGAGUCACGAUGGAUGUCAAGAUUGUUUUUGUUAGCCUGAUAACAUCGAAAUCAUCUGAGACACAAGUCCAUGUCUUGAGAUCGAAAUGAUUCUGCACUCGAUCAUCAUUAUAGGCAAGCCGAGCAAGAGUAGUUUUGCCCAGCCCACCAAAACCUACAAUAGGUAUAACCGAGAAUCCACCAUCAUUUCUCAAAUCAUCCCUCAACAACAAUUCAACAAUUUCCUUCUUAUCUGUUUCCCUGCCAUAGACGUUGGCUCCAGUCACUACAGAGGUUGUCUCUAGCCUUUGACUGGCUUUUUUGGACCCUCCAGCUGAACUUACGUUCAAACCCAGCGAGUCUUUCUGUGUCACAAUUUCUUGAAAUCUGUCGUUGAUCUCUUUGAUUUUGGACAUCAUGGCGUAAUCGAACUGAAUCAAUUGUGGUGUAAAAGUGGUGCAGCAAGUAGGAAUGAGCUUCCGAAACUUACUUGUUCUUGUACGACUGCUACUGGGCUGAUCCUGAGCCGCAGCUGGAUCUCCAUUUUCAAGCAGCAACUUCCUCCGGAAAGCCUCAGUUUGAAACUCAUCCAACAAGUCUUCAACAUCAUAAGCCAAGUCCUGAAGCUUGCCAAGCCACUUCUUCACAAACUGAUUAGUCGUCUUCUUCUCCUCAGCAUCAUCAAGCACCGCCUUGAUCAUCUCCAACAUAUUCGCCCACUUCAUCAGAUCGGCCUUGAUUUGCUCUUGGCGUGCAAAAAAUAGAAUCCCCUCUGAAGCUAACUUAUUGACCAGCAAAUCAACGGACGCCGUAAGGAUUGCCUCUCCGAUGAUUUACAUUUUUUUUUUUCUUUCUUCUCCUUUUUUUUUGGGGGGCAAAGAAAGAAGCAGAAUUUUGAGUUUUGAAAAGCAAAAUGAGAAAAUUGAACAGAAAGUGUGAAGGGUCAAGAAAAACGCAGGUAACAAGUCUUCCACUUCUUGUUUAUUCCAGGAAAGUGAAAUUGAAAACAGAGCCCACCACCCAUUAAUAAUUUAGCAAUUCACCAAUCGUUGCCAGAUUCAAUAAAUAUAAAAUCGCACGUUGAUAUUUGUAGGGCCAAGCAACAUUAAUCAAGUGUCCGGGUAAAUGCGGAAUAAAGAGCAAAAUGGAAUGUAUCUACUACGGACCUUCGCUUUACAAGUCUUCAAAGUCAUAAUAGCUAAAUCAAAACGUUUCUCUCUCUGUGUCUCUCUUAUAUAAUUACUUCAUUUAUUGAAUUAAUUUUCAUGCUAAAACGAAGACUUAAAAGUACACUACAAUUUUUUUAUAAUCACAGAAUGAUAACUUCAACUAUUAUGUUAUAUUAAUUUCGUGUUAAAAUAAAUUACAAUAAAAUUUUAGUCGAAUAUAAUAAGUUCGACUUAUUUAUUAAAUAUAUAUAUUUAAUAAAAUAAUAACACAAUUAAUAUGUUAUCAAUCAAAUAAAAGUUCUAAAGUGAAAACAAAAUCGGCCCCCACGACCAUCAAUAAUGUAGCAAGCUUCACUUUAUUACACUAAAGUGAAAACAAAAACAGCCGCUACCACCAUCAAUAAUUUAGCAAGCUUCAAAAUGCUGGUGCUUGUCCGCUUGACGAACUGGGCAUGGGUGGACCAGGCAUCAUUGAGCAAUUCGGAAAAAAUUAAAUAAUAAAAAAAUCAGCGUCCAGCAAAGAGAAUCCAUCUUUAUACGUUGCUUCCUACUUAGUACGUCUAUUGAUAUGUACAUCUAUCUAACAUUUAGAAAAUGGAAGUAGAAACUGGAACUCACUUUAUGGCUCGUAUGCAAUACACGUAUCAACAUUUAAUUAGAGUUCACACACACACACGUGUGUGUGAGUCUAGUUUUAAUUGAGAGAUAAAUUAAACAUAAAUACUAUGUUUCUAAAUGAUUGAAUAAUGAUAUUAUUGGUAUUUAUAAAUUUCUAAGAUGCGAUAAUUAUGUGGGGGGCAUAUAUUUAUGGUUAUAGAAAAUGGCGGUAAAAAUGGAACAAAUCUAAUAUAAUGAAAAAGUGUAAACUAUAGUAAAUUAAUGUUUACUUCAAAGUACGUUAUAAAUAUCGCUUUCUUUAAUACGUUAUUUGCUCCCACCAAUUGAGUUAUGCAUAUGGGUUAAGCAAAUAUGCAUGUAGGAUACAAUAAAGUGUUGAUUUGUUUGUUUAUGUUGUACAUCAAUGAAAGUAAACAUGAAUAUUCUUGAAUGUUAUAAGCCUACCAAGAAUUAAUAGAUUAUUCUUACAAAAAAAUAAUAUGUUGGAUAUUUGAUGCAUAAAAAAUAAAUGUUGAUUGAUGAAAUUCUUUUGAAGAAAGAGGACUACAAAAAAAUGGUGUAGGAUCAUUUUAUUCAUGUCUAAGUGACAUUUAUUUUUAUGAAUGUGAGGGUAUUUUGGUAAUUUUAUGGACACAAGAGUUGUGUGUUGUGGAUAGAUGUUCAUUUUGAACUACAUUACGUGCAGUUAGUCGUAUUUCACAUUUAUAAAAAGUAACUAUGUCGUUUCCUUGAUUAGGAGAAACUGCGAGUGAGAACCAAGCCGCGAAUAUGAACGAUAGUCGAGUUUAAGCAUUGUCACUAUGAGUGAAAUAUGCAAACUCAUUUUCAUAUUUUAUUAUGAUUUUAGAGUGUAGUAAACCAUAUUUGCAAAAUAAGAUUUUAAUGCUCUAAUUAUCAAUUAAUCAAUGAAUAAAUAUUUGUUGACUUAAUUUUUGUCAAUCAAAUUUUCUAAUCACAAUGGUAUCGUUUCUGUUUAUUAUUUUAUCAUUAUGCAACAACUUUCUCUCACAAGAUAAUAGAUUGUAGUAUUUCAUACCAAAUUAACACUCGUCCAUGUUACCGAUGAAAAUAAUGGUAGCAUUAUUAGAGAGCUUUUUCUUUUCUUGUUUUUCCCCCUUUUUCUGUUUUGUCCUUUGUUUGAUUGGGUGUAAUGAAACAGAUAUAACUAGGGACCAAGCAUGCAUGACCUAUAUAUAUCUUCAUCAACAAUCAAGGAAACAAGGGAUUGAAUUUGAUGCGUCACAUUAAUCCACCAAAGGAUAGACAUGGGACUUGACAUGAAAAUAAAUACAAACACAAACACAAACAUUUACUCCUCCAAUGAUUGUUUCAAUAUCCUUACCCUUGAUAUUUGCUCACUUUUAUAAAAUAUAAAUCUGCUGGUGAAUUUUUGGUACCUUAAACAGUUUUCUGACUUAUGAGGAAAAAAAAACUAUUUUUUUUUAAAUAUUGCACAGAGAAAUUAAAAAAAGAAAAAAAAACUGUUAAAGAGACUAAAUUAAUAAUGGUAGAAUGCUGACAAAAAAAAAUGUUAAAAUUAACUCAUUUUAAUGUGUUGACAAUUGAGUGAUUACAAUGAGCCCGACUUACAUUUUAUAUGACUAUAUUCAACUAGAUCACAUACAAAAUUUGAUUACCUUCACUACUAUAAGAUAUUAUUUGAUCAAUACAAAUUAAUUCAAAUCUGAUAUGUUAAGUAGAGAAUAACAAUGUUUUAGAUCAUUGUUUACAAUACAUGGAUAAGCUGGGUAAUUAGUUAAAGACCUGUAGACCAAAAAUGGAUUUAUGUAUUCAUCUUAUCUCCACAUUAUAUGUUGAUGCUUUCAUUUCUACUCAUCCUUUAGUUUCUUCUCAAUGCAAAUGCCAUCUGGAUAGGUGGAACAACAUUUCCAAUGUGCUAUGCUUGUGUUGGAUGUUAUCAGCAAUCUUGCAGCCAUCCGAAAAACCCUACGUGACGAGGAAGUAAGAUUAAUUUAAAAGUAUAAUCACAAGUGAUGCAAAUAAUAACAAAAUCUAAACAAUUAAGAAGUUUUACAGUCAAACUUCUAAGAAUGGAGAUUUGUUCAUUGGUUUUAAAAUUCAUUUUGCAUAUUCUAAUUUUUCAUUUAAAUAAUUGCACGAAUUUGGGUCCAGUGCUGAUCACAAUCUUGUAAGAAGAUACGCACAAAUCUUAGCUCAGCACUAAAUCCAACUCUCAAUUGCAAAUAUCAAAAUAGCAAUAAGACUUACUCGAGAUCAAUCGCACAUUCACGAGCUUUCACCGAUUGUAUCUCUAACUGUUAUUGCACGGAAAGGAGUGCCAUUUGGUAACUUGGCCUUAAGCUCAGGACCGGCAAAGACGUGCAUUGGUUCUGGCCAUUCCGGCAUUGUUUCCUCAGGUCAGGCUGCCCAUACGAAUGCUUCUUUACGACAUGGAAACAGAUCGUAUGCUGCUGCUUCCAAUGCAUCGGACCUCACCUAUAAUAACAACAAUAAAUAGAUGAAUAAUCUAAUCGGAGGUGAUUGUAUAUAUACUGACAAUAGGUUUGUUUUAACUAUGACAAAAUUACUCAACUAAUUCCCAAAUUAAGGCUCAAUUCAGGACUGGUUCGGCAAUUAAAAAGUGUUUUGUAAGGACUUUCAAUUAUGAUUUGGAAGUUAAAGAUAAUUUUACUCAACAAUUGUUUGAUGAAAUUGUAUUAGAUCUUGGCCAGGACUUGACCGAGUGUUUUCAAUCAACUUUCUUUGCACCACCUCACAACUUACUAUUUUUUCAAAUAUAUUUACUUUAAAAAUCAGGGCAUCUUGAUAGGCACCCCUCUAUGUUAAGGUUAAAUGAAUAUCGGUGGGUGAGGUUUAUAAUAAUAGACAGCAAUAACAUACCACAACGUCUUUAUGGACAUGCAAUCCAUCGGUCGUAGCAGAACUAGCUGACAGCGCCUGCAGGGCACAUGCAAUUAUAAUUUGAUCAGUGUUCACGAAGCUCAAGCAGUGUAAAUAACAGAUCAUGGCUUAAUUAAGUAAUUACCUGAAGGUGAUUAAAUAAUUGAGAAUGAAAUUAUAUUAUUAAGCAAAGACAUAAGCUAUUAUAUUAUUAAGCAAAGACAUAAGCUAAAUUACCCCAUUUAUCUGUUUGAAAUCUCGUCUUGAGAGCAAAUGCCGGCACUGACGAGGCUUGCUCAAUUUCGACCUGCAUGGCUGCAUGUCUGAUAAGAGUGGAAACAUAGUGCCUUUAGCGAAAUCGUAGAAUGUUAAAUCUGAUGCUACUGAAUAUGGAGAGUGAUUCAUAUACACGGUCUUCAUGAAUAUAUAGUUGUUAAUUACAGGAGAAGUUGCAAUAUGAAGUUAAUUUGAAAUUUAUAUUUCUCACCUCGAAUAAUUUCUGGUAAAUCGCUGAUUCGAUAAGGUUAAACUUUCUUUAUGAUCAUCAUCUUCUUCUUGGUCUUCGCCUUCCGAUAUUCCUAUUUCUGAUGUUUCUCCACAUUUUCUUCCUCUUUUAACAACUUUCGUUGAAGAUUUUGACAGACAUAUCAUUGUGAGAAGAGUAUUUCUAAAGUUUACAACUUGGAAAUGAGACCUUAUGUGAUAUGUACAUGAAGGAUAGAGUACCUAUCAGUAUUUAUAAGAAACAAUGUGAUGGUUUUAAAGAGACUAGUGGUGGUUUUAAAGAAACUAAAUAAAGUUUAUUAUUUAAUAAAAAGUCAAAUACAAAUUCCGAAGAAUCCUCUGUAUAAUCAACAGGAUCUGGAAAACGGAGGCACAUGCAUGGCAAUAUCUUUACUUUGUGAGACUGGAUUAUUUUUAUAGAUUUUUAUCCAAAGAAACUAAAUAAAGUUUAUUAUUUAAUAAAAAGUCAAAUACAAAUCCCGAAGAAUCUGCUGUAUAAUCUGACAAGAUCUAGAAAACUGAAGCACAUGCAUAGCAAUAUCACUACUUUGUACGACUGGAUUAUUUUUAUAAUUUUUUAUCCAAAGAAACUAAAUAAAGUUUAUUAUUUAAUAAAAAGUCAAAUACAAAUCCCGAAAAAUACGUUGUAUAAUCAGACAAAAUCUAGAAAACUGAGGCACAUGCAUGGCAAUAUCAUUACUUUGUACGACUAGAUUAUUUUUAUAAAUUUUUAUCCAAAGAAACUAAAUAAAGUUUAUUAUUUAAAAAAAGUCAAAUACAAAUCCCGAAAAAAUCCGCUGUAUAAUCUGACAGAAUCUGAAAAACGAAGGCACAUGUAUGGCAAUAUCAUUACUUUGUAUGAGUGGAUUAUUUUUACAACUUUUUAUCCAAAGAAAUUAAAUAAAGUUUAUUAUUUAGUAAAAAGUCAAAUACAAAUCUCGAAGAAUCCGCUGUAUAAUCUGACAAAAUCUGGAAAACAAAGGCACAUGUAUGGCAAUAUCAUUAUUUUGUAUGACUGGAUUAUGUUUACAAAGUUUUAUCCAAUCCCUUGUUUGAUGCCAGUAAAUCAAUAUUUAAAUAUAUAGUUAUUUUGUUAUGUUAUUUGAUUUUAACUAUUAAUGUCAAUAUUGGAAUAUAUAUUUAUAUUGAACUAAUAAAAUAACUGUAUAAAAAUAUUUGAAUAAACUUAAUUAUGAAUUUUGAAUUCAUGAUGUAAGGUAGCGUUUGUUUUUAAAUCUGAAAUAUUAGUAAGUCUGACUUUAGCUAAAAUCUGAAUAGAUUUGAAUUGCAUAUGUCUAAAUGGCAUGUUUUUUUUUCUCUUUUUUGAUGUCUGAAUAUAAGUGACAUCUUUUUUUUAUAAAUAAAAAAAACUGAAAUAUGAUUAUUUAACAUUUAUGUCCUUGUAAGAAUUAUUUAUACUUAUUAUAAAUUUUAAGAUUUAACUAUGUGCACGUUACAAUUAAAAUCAAAGAUAUGUAGAAUUGAGUAAUUGAUCUUUAAAUAAAAAUAUUAUUAUAUUACUCCAAAUACAAAAUUGAAUCAAACUUAUUAUACUUUAAAAUUUAAAUUUAAUUUUAUAAUUUACAUCAUCUUUUUUACCAUUUAAGAUUGUAAAAGCCCAUUCGCCCAAACCUAGUCUUAAUUAGCUGUAUAUAAGUGUAAAGGCCCAUAUGUUCUUAAGAAGUGUUAAGAGUUUUCAUAGACCCAUAAGUGAAUGGAUAUGUGUAAUGCCCUCAAAUUCAAGCCAGAGUUAUAACUGUUGGCAGAUCUGUGUAAUCCUUUUAAAACCGUUCUCUAAUUAUAUUAAAAGACAAAAUAAAUCUAAUUAAAUUCUUAUAUUUCUCUCUCUAUAAGUUUCUUUUUUUAAUGAGAAAAAGACAUCUACACCCCUAAGGUUUGGAAAAAUGAUCAUCAACACCCCUAUGUUUUCAAAGGUGGACACCAAGACUCCCUUUGAUGAUUAUACUCUUUAUCUCUAUUAUUUCAAAAGAAUUAACUCUAAUAUUUUACAAUAAAUAGAAAUAUGAUAUUAAAAUAAAUGUAAUAAUACAUACAUUUUAAAAUAAUUUCAAUUUUUAAACAAUAUUUUAAUAUUUUAUAAUUUAUUAGAUAUAUUUUACUAUAUUAAAGUAAAUUUUAUGAUAAAUAGAAUCAUAAUAUUAAAAUAAAUGUAUUAAAAAUUUAAAUUAUAUUGAAUAUUAUGUAAAAUAAUAAUUUUAACAAUAUUAGUAUGUGAGAAUGUUUUUAAUUGUAGAACGUAUUUAAUGCAAAUAUUUAUUUAAAAUCUCUACAAUAAAAAAUAUAUUAUUAAAAUAAAUAUGAUAAAUUACAUAUUGAAAUAUUAAAUAUUUUAAUAUUUCUAGUCUACUACAUAGAUUAUACUAUUUAUAUGGUAUUUGUAUUUGCUAAAAAUUUUAAAGUCAAUUUUUUAGAAGAAUAGAGAUAAGGGAUAUAAUGGCCAAAAGAAGGUCAUGGUGUCCCUCCUUGAAAACUUAGGGGUGUUGGUGACCAUUUCCCCAAAUCUUGGGGGUGUAGAUGUUCUUUUUCCUUUUCGAAUUCAUUACCCCCACACAACUACACCAAACAACCAAAAUUUUGUGGGAUCUGUAGUUCAGGCAGAAGCGGCCGGCCGAAUGCUUCCAGCAACUCAGGCAGAUAGAACCUUGGUUGAUUUGUUUUUCUUCAUCUGAAAUUCUACCUAAUGGCUAUCCUUUUAAUUGGUUUAAAUUCUUCUUUUUUCUUUGAGUUGUUGAUUUAUAGUGCCUUACAUGCAAAAUUCAAAAUUUCGGAUGAUGAUAAUCUUGUUUUAGAAGAGAUUUCUAGUUAUGCUAGCAGCAUUCUUGAUCGUGGCAUCACAAGCACAUGCUCUGGUUUGCUUAGUUUGCCUUUUGUCUCUGAUAUUUUCUUGGCAUUGUGGGAUAUUGUUUCUUUUUUUUUUUUUUUUUGUUAUAGGAUUCGGAGAUAUUGUAUAUGUAUGACGAUGAUAUAAUAAUGUGCUUUUGAUAAAUUCACCUGGUCGGUUUACUUCACCAACCAUUAAUGAGCAAAUCCUCCCAGUGACCCUCAAACUCUUCAACACAAUUAUAAUAAUUUCAGUUUUAUAUAUACAAAAGUGAACAGCUCUUAAAUAUAUUAUUUGAUAAUGACAAACACAACAACUCACUCCAAUAAAUCUCGUAAUAAAGAAAUGGUCUAUAUUGCAAGUCUUUUUAGGACGCAUUCAAAAAGAAAACAUAAGGAAUGGCGUUGCAAGAAUAUGGAAUCAGAAUAACAGUGAUACAAAGAGAAAAAAAGGGGAUGGUCGGAUUGCUUUGUUUGCAAAAUUAUUGAUGCGGGGGUCUACUUGCUUUUAAUUCACUUUAUUAAUUAAUUAGCGAACCAAACAUGUAAUCAUUUAAAAAAGGAUCACUGGCCCUAGCUUACAAAAGAUGAAUUUGUAAGACAUAUUAGUUUUGAUGAAAAUGUAGUGUUAUUAAGUUAUGAAUUCAUUAACUUAGAGGUAUUAAUAUUUACUAAUGAUGGUGAUUAAUUUAUUUAACUUGUCAUAGUCUUCAAUUAACAAUGAAGUGAAAUCAAUUUAUGGAAAAAAAAUAAUAAGUUUUUUACUAAUAAGUUUUUUACUUUUUAAGAUUUCAUUUUGCUCUUUUUCAAUUAUUGACGUUGUCGAAGAGGGUAAUAAAAGCUUGUUGAAUUUCAUCAAAGGCUUGUAUCUCAUCUCACAAAUUGGCAAUAUCGAUUGGCUUCUUUAUAGGUGAAGCCAUCACGAAUUUAUCACUUCUUUCAUAUUGAUACCCAUAAAUUUCAACCUUAUUUUAUCUUUGAUGCACAAUCUAACUUAACAAAAAUAGUAUUCAAAUUGUCACAAAAUGUUUUUUUUUUUAAAAAAAUCAUAUACAAUAGUUAAUUUUUCUUCUUCUUUUAAAAAAAAAAUCAUAUACAAUAGUUAAUUUUUCUUCUUCAAGUUUUGUAUGAAACACUAAUCUUGCUCUGUACUUUGGAGUAUUUUAAUAAUUGAUGUUAAGAUUUGCUAAUGUAAUUAUAGUGAAAGAGAACCAAUUUGGAAAAGUGAAUACUUAGUAGUGGGAGUUCUAUCCUUUGGGGUUUAAUUAAUGUUUGAUGUUGUUUCUGUUGGCCUCAGCUAGUUGUUAAGAUUUCAUACCUUUUGUUGGUUUUUCAUAACUGUGACCUAAAGCUUAAUGUAUACUUUGAUAAUUACAUAAUCGGUUUCUUGCUGAUACUUGGCUUUAAUUUAUAAACCUGAGGCUCUUUUGGGAGUUGGGAAGAUUUACGAAAGAGGAGUUUCUGAUUAUCUGGUUUGUUCUCUUUAUGCCUACAGAAGUUGAAUUCACUCUAUGCAUGAAUUUAUGAUUCUUUUAGAAAGAUUUUAUUCUUGAGAAAGAUUUGAUGAAAUUGAAGCAUUAUAGUAAAGCGUACCACUGGUAAGCUUGAUUCACUUUUUUUCAUUUACUACCAAGAGGUGCCAACAGUUCAUGAUGCACAAAAAGAGGUGGGGAAAAAAAGAAAUCUUCUUGCUAGAUACAUAAAUUUAAUAUUUGAAUCAUUUUCAACCAAAGAAAUGUGCUGAAGAGCACCAUUUUCGUUUAUAUCAAAGUUCAAUUGCAUCUUAUAUCAUCUGUUUCCAUCUCCUUUGUGGUAAAUAAAGUCCUUGGUGAUGACAAUAAGAAUCACAGAAGAAGUUAAUUUCUUAUCUGGAGAUUUUCAUCAUAGUAGUUCAUUGAAAGUGAAGGCAGCUGAGUACUCCUUUUUCUGAUGCAGUCUGUCCCUCUUUGGUGUGAUUAUUUGAAAUUUGCGCAAGAAUAUGAUCCAUCUAUACGAGAAUGUGCCUAAUAAAAUAUCACAAAGGUGCCUAAUACAGUGAAAUUAACAUAUUCAGCUCAUGAGAUUGCCAUUAUAUAUAUUGAAAAAGAAAUUAAUAUAAGAAACUGAAAUUAAUUGACACUGGUUCAUGAUGGAUUGUUAGUUGUUAAUUAUGAUGGGAAUAUAAUCUUGGUCUUUUAAUUAUCAUCUAGCUAAUGCAUGUGCACUUUCAUUUGUGUCUAUCACUGAAGAAUAAAGUUGCUUGAUUGAACAUCAUAUGACAGAAACUCAAAACGCAAUUUCAUUGCCCGAGCAUACCAUGCCAUAUGUGGCUCAAAAGUACAAUUAACAUUGAACGUUCAGCUAGCUAGCUCGUACUAAUUAAUUUAUAGGAUUGCUAGUUCUUUAUGAUUCACUAAAAGAGAAAAUAUUUGACAAUCACGAGAACAAUAACAAUUCACUCCCAUAAACAACAUAAUAGAUACAUGGUCUAUAUUGCAAGUCUUUUUAUGAUUUUAAUUAAAAGAGAAAAUGCAACGGACAUAUUAUAUAUAAUUGAAUGUUCUCCUUGAUAAUUAGUCAAAAUAACGCCAAUAUGAAUAACUAAUACAAUCAUCAUAAUUAUCCGAUUUUCAUUUUAAUUAUGUCCAACCAUGCUAAUUUAAUAAAGAACACUGACCGAAUACAUGAGCAUUUAUAUGUUCAACAAAUUUGGCUGAGUAUGAAAAAUAUAAGAGCUACAUUUAUGCUUUGUGUUAUUAAGUAGGACAUGACCAUAUUAUGUUGCAUUUGUCAGAAAACUGAAAAUUAUCGAAAAGGAUCCUAAAAGAGAUGUGUUGAGUUGUGAGCUUAAAAAUGAGUUUUAGAAGUUCCUGACAUGUCGGUGUGUAUCCUUGAUUGUGCAUGCCCUGUCGGUUUCUGGAUGAAACAGAAGAAUAUGACAUGUGUGUAUUGUCUUUUACUUCCAGCAAGCACGUGAUUUAAGUGAAUCACAUGUUCUUCACGUGAUUUGACAUACUUUAUACGGAUUUAGCAGUUGUUUUGGUCACUUAUUGAAGCACGAGUUAAGCACGUGAUUCAAGGUUGUUAACUGACCGUUAUAAGGUGGAAAAUUCUGGGUUUCUUACAACAAACCCAGAGGGCAUCUGGUGAGUGGAAGCUGUUUCUAGAUUCUUCAUGAUCUGUAUAUAUAACACAAAACUACAUGCAUGUCAAUUGCUUUAUGUUAAUAUUGUUACUAAUGAGGCAGCUAGUAAUCCCUUUGGUGUAAAUAAUUAACUUUCAUAUGCACAAUAUUUAAAAUAAUCACCAAACAACAAUUCACAAGUUACAUUACACAUAAACAAAAUAAAACUAAUCUAGCAAAUUCAAUCAUAAUAAUUUGAUUUUCAUUUAUAUUAAUUAUUUCCAAUCAUGCUAUUUUUUUUUUAAAAAGAACACUCCAGUGUUUAUAUAUCCAACAGGUAAAAUUUCAAAACAAUAUUUGCUAAAGUCUGAUGAAGAGAAUAUACACGCACACACAUAUAUAUAACCGUACAGCAGAAUGAUAAAUAAAAGAAAAUGAAGUUUCAACAGCUGAAUAAUGCAUUUUAUUGUUUAAUUAAAAAAUUCGAAAACCCAUUGGCCAUAUAUACAUGAUAAAGACUCACUGAAGCCGAGCCAUAUUAAUUUAAAUUAAUUUUCAAUUGAGAUUUAAAUUUUGAAAUUACAUACACAAACACGCCCAAUUUAAAAAAAAAAAUAGUAAUUAUAAAAUAUUUCAGUCAUUUAUUACAACAUAAGGUAUAUGGGUUAACAAGUCCCAAUAUUGUCCUCCAUCCUUUCUGCACUUCUCUGUUAUCAACGGACAACUCCAGAUCUGUAAUUGCAAAAGUGAGGAAGGCAGGCCCUUCUCCGGAAAGUAUUUGAGCUUGGGACAUCCCCAGAGAACCAAUUCAAUGAGGUUUUGAAGAUCAACAAUUGAAGAAGAUAGGCGUUCCAGAUUUGGAAAAUCUUCAAUCCACAGAGAUGUUAGAGAGGCAGGAAGAGGAAGCGCGGUCCCUAAUCUUUUGUCCUCUAGUGGAAAUGACACCAUGUCUUCAUCGCAUCCACUGAUUAAAAGAUAUCGCAGAGAGGAGAAUCUGUGAAAUCCCCGUCCCCGCUCAAUCAUC